UAUAUUUUAGUAUAUGAUGUAUAUAGACUUUUGAUGUCUAAAGAAAUAGUUUAAUUCUAUUAAAUAUAA
rnacentral:tRNA from 1 species